UACACCAGCCAGGCCUUAGAAUUAUUUUUAUUCUGAAAUUAUUUGUCUUGUUCCUUUAUUCAUUUAUAAUAGUUAACAGGGAUAAGAGAACCAAUAACUCUUAACUAAAAAUCAAAUAAUAAAAUGAAAGUUAUCAUUAUAAAUAUGAAGUAAUAUUUUUUCCUAUGGACAUGAUUGCCUAAAAGAAGUUGCCUAAUUCAACACAUAUUUACUUACCAUGUGCCCAGUAUAGUAGUAAUUCCAGGAGGCUAAUCAGUUAGCAAAUAUUUACUGAAUAUUUUACACAUGCCAGACAGUGCCCAUGCACUAAACAAAACACGUGUGCUUUCUCCUCACAAACUUAAAAAUCAAACAGUCAGUGAGACAUUAAAAAGGGCAGAAGCCCCCUGACUGCAGGAAUAGCUCCCAUUCUACGCUGCAGCCCCAGUGCCUAGAGCAGUGCCCAGAGCAGUGCCCGGCACCAGCCGGUGUUCCAUGCAAGUCACUGAAUGCACAAGGGAAAUAAAUCAAUGCCAGUGUGAAACAUUUGGCAGAAGACAAUGCAGUGCACCAAACAUACAAAAUACAAAUGCACACACAAAUACUCCCAAACAACAUCUCUAACUGCGGGAGCUCAGAAGUGAUCUUUAAGGUUGGAAAACAGCUUUCUCUCUCCUCUUCCUACUCACCCCUUCCUGAUGCCUUACGUUGAUUCCGUGCCCCCUUUUCCUGCACCGGAGGGGAUGGAACUGAGAGGGCGGAGGAGGGAUGUCCUCCAGGGACACUGGUUGAUGCAGAGCUUAGAAUUGAAGCCCCACCCUUGGCCGGCGCUCAUGUAUUCCAGCCCUAAAAAGUUUAUUUAGCUGAGUCUACACCACCCUGCACUGUGAAAGCUCAGCUCCUCAGUUCUGUGUGCGACACAUCGGCCUGGUACCCAAGAGAGUUCGGGGGAAUUUCUGGCCUGUUUUGAGUCUCUUGAUACACGGAGUGGUGUUUAUCCCUCAUGUUCAUCUGUUGUGUACAGUUUAAAUGGGAAAAGCAUGGCUUUACUGACCUUUGCUGAACAAAUAAAUUUACUUAAGGCUGCUUGGUGUCUUUUGGAAAAGAAUGUUCUUUCUCUUCUUCCUCUGGGGCUGUCUCAAGAGUUUUCCACUUCAAAAUUAUUACAUUCCCAGCCUCACACCUCCGCAGUCACAGAAGUCCACUAUUUUUAAAGUAGGCAAGAAAGGGAAAAAGAAGGUGAGGGUGUGGAGGGGAGACUCAGGGCUUGUGUGGCUGGUAGUUUUCUGGGCUCUACUUCGGUUUGCAAGGAAGAUUUCCAUCACUAGUCCUCAUGCUCCCUCCAUAGUAGUUAGCUCCUGUUGCCACUCAAGGUCGAGCCCUACUUCUCAAGGGAAGUCUUGUCUUUCUAGAAAGUAAGUGAGGCUCUCCUGUUUAUGGGGUUCAGCUCUCUCUGAAUUCUGUGGAGAUGUGGGGGAAGAAACAUCCAAGAAAGAUUAAUCCGUCCCCUUUCCUGUCUCUACUUUCAUCCUUAGAUAUCCUUUCAAAUGAGGUUAUUAAAUCACUUAAUCUCAAGGAGCUCAGGAGUUAGAUUUAACAACUAAAAUAAAACCACACAUGUCUAGUUAUGUGAAAAAAAUAUUGUUUGCUUAACUUUUGAUUCUUUGGAUGUGAUUCAUGGGACUUGUUUAUUUUUUACUUGUGCGGUGACCUAGCAUUUCCUUGGGGAAUAUAGAGAAUGUCCUUUCCAUGGUAGAAAAAACAUAUUGAAAGUGAAAAUUUCUUCCUUUAAAAACAAAUGUUGAUUUUCCCACUUGUCACGGAAAUCAGUUUUUCUAGCUAUGCACAAAAUCCCAGUCAUUUACAAGUGGAGAAACCUGUUUAAGGAAUGGCCAAAUUAGCAGGGGCCAAAUUCCCAAGGCUUAAGAGUCUCAGGUGAAAUCUGAUCCUGGACGGAGAAUUUUUUUUUUCUUUUUUUUUAUAUUACAGUUUUUUGUCUAUUUUUCCCAUCCCAGCG